CUCUAUGUCGGUCUGCGGCCCCGUCUCUAUGUCGGUCUGCGGCCCCGUCUCUGUCGGUCUACGGCCCCGUCUCUGUCGGUCUACAGGCCCAGAGAGACUGGCAGACAAGGCAGCAUUCCUUUUAUAUGGAAUGAAGUACCCGGUUGGGUAUCAGGACUGUAAAUCCAGUAACUUUCCCAAAUUCCCCCAAAAUUAAACUGUCGUCAAAAUGUAAGCAUAUGCAGAGGUAGGCAUAUUCUUUGACACUUUUACAAUAUAUAUAUAUUUUUUUUAUCAUGCUUUUAAAAUAUAAUAUUUAAGCUGUUAUGCUCUUUUAAAAUAUAGACAGUGUGGUUAGAGAGAAGAGAGGUACUGCUGGAAGAGUGGAGGCCACCAGAUCUGUGGUCCGGGGGUGCAUUUAGACCACUGGACCAGUGUAGGCAAUGAAUUCUGCAUUUUGAAAAGGCCUUCCCAAUUGCAUUAUGCAUUGACAUCUUAUUUUCCACUCUCAAUUAAGUCUGAAUGUGGAUAUCAUCUUAUGAAAGAAAUUCCAUGCACCACAGUUGCUACAAACACUAAUAAUGUGUAUAUAUACACGUGCUAACUAUACAGUCAGUGGGGAGAUGUGGAAAGCUUACUCAUUGAUAGGUUUUUGUAUUGUUUUAAACGAUGGUGUCAGUAAAACCUCUAACGGUUUGUAUGAAAAAACGGAGUUAAAGCCAACAUUCAAUAUAGUCUUGCUCAUAACAACGCAAUUGGUUUUACGGCAGCGAAACCAAGACCAGUGAUUUUAGAAGACGGAAAAACAAAUGCGAGGUAAUCUCAUUAAAACCGCUUACGAAGUCCAAACUUUAGGAUGAGUCUAACUUUUUUAUAGGCUGCCUUAAUUGCAGUUUUAAUUUCACCAACAAAUAGUCUAGAGGAAAUACUGAUUUUCAGUGUUAGCAAUUCUAUGGCACGAUAAUGGAGCAGCGCUUCACAUAUAUGAAUGUAAACUGUUGACAUUUUCCUGGCCGGUCUGUCUCGCCGAACUGCCCGUGACGACAAACAAUAGGCAGAGAUCUGUGCAUGCUCUCAGCCGGUCCAUUUCUCAGACUAAUCUGUGUGGGCAGCUCGCAUGUGAAACAUAAACAUCACCAACAAAGAACGUUAAUCGGUUUUUAAAUCUAUUCAAUAGACUUAAAAGCAUUACUAUAAUAGCAUUAUUAUAAUAUUUUUAUCGCUGACUCUCAGCAGUACUGGGCCAUUGACAUGGAUGACAUGGCCUUGUAAAGUCUUCCCAGGUCCGUCGGUGGCUCUGAAUGUUGAGCCCCACGUAGCUAGUAGCUAGCUACUUUUCCAAACCAGGCUAGCAGGAAGAUUUGUCCAAGUAGCCUGUCAGAUAUUUUCUCUUUUCAAAUAAUGCAUAGCACACAUACAAGUCCAGCCGGCAAACCCGAAAUUCCAAACAUUCCCUCUCUGAUUAUAAACAAUACACCAGGUCACUGCUGAGUGGAAUUAAGUUUAUAUUCUUGCAUGUACACAGAGUUAUGUGGAAUAGAAGCAUGUCGGUCUAAUUCCAUCUGCUAAAGAUAAGUGAUCAGCAUAAUGCAACCAACAAAUCAGCUUAGGAAACACUCAACGUUUAAAAACGGCUUUACAUUGUUUGUUCAAUAAGAGCACAUUCCUAUUGAAUAUUCAAUACCUGCAUUAACUUAAUCCAAAUGCUACUUUAAAAAACCUGGCAAACUGCAUGCCUCAACUAAAACGGCCCACAAUCAAUGUAAAAGCAUCCCGGUGCAAAAUUAGCAUCUCUGCUAGUAAAAAGGCCUUCACCGAAGACGCCUAAGUGCAAAGCGAACCCGACAUCUAAGUGUUUGCCUGCAGCCGCCGUUAAUUAGAAAUACUUGAGGCAACAUUGCAGGUUGAUAAGAGGCUGAUUACUUAAGGAAUCAAAUAUUAACACCGGCCUGGUCUCCUUUGCCACGCCGACACAGUAACAUCAACAGCUGAUGGGAUUUGGAGUAAUGGCCCCUCACGUCAGCCCCAAAGAUGUCUAUCCUCAUGGCAUAGAAAAUGCUUCACUUGAAAUAUCUAUUCGCUGCACGUUGGUUAUCAAGAGAAUGUGGGAGGUUUUUGUGUGAACACAUUUAAUGUGAUACAAACGCUGGAGUACUUUUUUGGUAAUGUAUGUAGGGUUCUUCCAUACCUGCUGGGGAACCCAAGCAAAUGUUGAUGUUGCUCAUGGUUGGAGCUAGCCUCGUAGACAGACACGGGCACAGACACGGGCACAGACAGACGCAGACACACACAGAGACACAGACACACAAUCUAAAUGUCAGUGCUGUGCUGAUUUGAUUUCCCUAUUCCGUUUAUACUGCUGCCUGGCUAGUGGCUGCAGUGUAAUGAAGAGGCAUGUGGAAAGCACACUGAUGUCACACAGUGAAAGAGUGUUAGAGAGAGAGACACGUGUCGAGGAAACACGUUCCGGCAUCGCAGUGCUUCAAGGAAGUGAUUCCAGGAAGUACAUAUUUUCUUUUACACAUCCCCCUGCAUACUGAUCCAAUCAUGUCAGGGUGGUUAAUUGCGCUGUAGUAAUUAGCGAUGCAUUAAAAUCCCUAAUAAUCUAAUAACUAAUGAUAUUCUUCCUUUUAGGAACCCCAGAGGCCUACCUCACACUCUGUGUGUGUGUGUGUGUGUGUGUGUGUGCGCAAGCAAUUUUAAUUCCUCCACCCCUUCUCACCCUUAUUAAGCUUCUGAAUUACUCUGAACUCUUCUGCUGCUCCAUGUCUAAAUUUGUUGUAAUUAACAUGCUGCUAAAAUACAAGCACACAGCACAGGCACUUUAAAUAUGCUCCACCAGCAAUUAGAAGAUAUUAAAAAAUACCUUGAUUAGGAAGAAAUAAUCACUUUUGUCUUUCUUCCUCAGUUUCCUAAUACUGCGGACUGGUGUCCAGGCGGCUGAGUUGAUCUGUGGUGUUGGCAGGUUCACAGGGGGCUUUUAAGCAAGCAAGCCUAUUUGUUUUAAGUGCUCCAGCUACCCCAAAGGUGACCCAUCCAACAUGACAAAAACACUCCCCUCCGCCACGGCCCUCGGCAGAUAACGACACCAGGAAAUCAAAUAAUGAGCCUCACACGGUUUUACCGCCACACAGAGAAAUAGUUGUUUUUACAUUUGAAAAAGGCCAAAUACUAAAAACAAAGCCUGUCGUCAUCAAUCUGGUUCUCCGCUAGCUAAUCUCCCACCUCGGAUUUUUAAUCCUGCGUCGAGCUAAUCAAGAAAGUGGGUGGAAGCAGGAAUGAACGACGAGGAUUUACUGUCGGUCUCCUGACCUGCCUGCCGUUUAAACAGCUCAGCCUGGGGCCGUGUCCCCAACGGCUCCCUGUCCCAUACAAAUAGUGCCCUCGUCACAUCCUAGCGUCACACAGGAUCCGAAGCAGCACCUUCUGAAGGGAGCAGGGUGUGAUUUGGGAGCGAGGAGGAGGUGGUGUCUGCAGGGUUGGCUGAGUGAUGAAGAAGGGCCUUACGCCGUGGGCUGGGUGUCGGUGCCGCUCGCCGUAUCUCCCCUCGCCACAUUUCAAGCCCGCCGCUGCCUCAUCACUGCACUGCCCCCUGACAGCCGGUGCAUCCCAAAUGACCCACUACUCCCUCUGUAGUGUGCUACAUUUGACCAGGCUUACCAGUAAGGCGGUGCUCCAUGUUGGUAAUGGGGUGCAGUUUGGGACCGAAGGCUGACAGUCAGCCAACAGCCAUCUGGGUAUUCCACAAUACCCAGAAAUCCCUCUUAAAUACAGGAUAGACUUGAUGAUGUAGAAUACAGUAGACACAGACUUGCACCAAUCAGCCCAAAUACAUAAGUGAGCGAAUGGAUCCCGUUCUGUUGUAAUUUUAUUUGUUUCACUCAAACAGAUCAGAAGGAGUGAGCCCUAGGAUCGGUCAGAGUGCCACAGAUGCUGAUUUUUAACUGCUUCAGGUAUGACAAGUGUCUUUUCUAAGAGAAGUGAAAGUAGUUGAGCAGAUUUUCUCCUGAGGGGGGUGUCUGUCUUUAACUGAAUGCUGUCUUUAACUGUCCUGGUGUCCUGUUUGACUUUAGGAGGACAUGAGCUCUUGGAUCAGGCCUCUAUAGUACCUGGCCCAAAUGACUCUCAGAAAUCCCUGCUGCUAAGUGCUUGUGGAUGUGUUGGGUAACAGGUUGCUGCACCACCUGUUCUUGUUCACCUGGUUUGGGUUUGGAUUCUGUUGGAGUCAGCUGAAAGGCCACCUGCCUUUGAGGUGUCUGUGUUCUGAUGAUUGCAAAACGUUGAUUUGGCUCAAAAAGUUAUUUUGUGUUGUCUUCAUCCAGCACAGCUAGAAAAGUGGCCACCCUACAGAGUCUGGUUCCUGUCUGUUUUUGCAAAUUUUGGUCCCUAUGAGGGAGUUUUUCCUAGCCACAGUGCAUUAACUGGUGUCACUUGCUCUUUUCAGGCUCACUGGAAGGCUGAAUGUUUGUCGUUUAAUUCGGCUUGCGGUGCCCUGAGGCUGCGGUGCCCUGAGGCUGCGGUGCCCUGAGGCUGAGGUGCCCUGAGGCUGAGGUGCCCUGAGGCUGAGUGAGAUUUUUGACAAACACAAUUUGCAGUGUGUCACGGCAAGACCUAUUACUGUAGCUUUACACAGUAUGGACGUGUUUUGUUCCACAGUUACAACAUGAGUAAUAACAAGGUUGCAGGUUUGAGAUGGUUGUUUAUGCCUGUGGAAAAAUAACUGGUUCGGUGUAGCCAUCUUUCUGAAAAGGUUGGGUUCAGAAUAAAGUUGGAAUUUUGUGUUGUAUUGCUGUUAUGUAUGGGCCAUUGAGGCUAUCGAAUCCUGUCAUGUUUAGAUUGUCAGGAGGGCUUUGAUGCAUUAAUCAGUCAAUUUAUAUGUCGUGAUAUUGCUUCUGUGUCCUUCCUAUGAAGUUAUUUCCACACUUUUCAAUGCCGUUGUCCAUUGAGAAAUCACUGGAGUAUAAUGUAGGUCUGUCAAGGAAGAUGUGUACUUUUGAAUUGCAGGGCAUGUGAGGAAAUAAAGUGUGAUGUGUUUGGAAGUCCCAAUGCAAAAGCAUCAUCAGCAGUCUUAUGACUGUCUAAGGGAUAAGUAAGUAAUGAGAACUGAGUGGGGGACACGUCAACAAAGAAUGUUGUUCUGUCUCUCAUCUGUCCUUUAAUGUGUUAGUGAGUAUUAGUAGGUGUUUAAAUGGGACUGUAAUGAUAGAACUUAUUAAUUUCUUCCUAAUGAGUGUGGUUGGGGGCUUGUAGUCUUGCUGUGGGUGGCUAUUUAGGUGUUAAAGAGACUCUGCACUAGUUACUUGCGGUAGGUGUCGGUGGACGGUUGUUAGAGUCUCUGACUGUGGUGUGGAAGGUUGUUGGUUCAAAUCAAAGUGGUUCUUGUGGGCUAUGUGUCGCUGGGGAUGAAGUCACGCAAUGACUUGGUGUGUUUGUGAGGUUGUGUGGAUGGUGGUGAGGUUGUAUGGGUGGUGGAUGGUGGUGAGGUUGUAUGAGUGGUGGAUGGUGGUGAGGUUGUAUGGAUGGUGGAUGGUGGUGAGGUUGUAUGGAUGGUGGAUGGUGGUGAGGUUGUAUGAGUGGUGGAUGGUGGUGAGGUUGUAUGGAUGGUGGUGAGGUUGUAUGGAUGGUGGAUGGUGGUGAGGUUGUAUGGAUGGUGGAUGGUGGUGAGGUUGUAUGGAUGGUGGUGAGGUUGUAUGGGUGGUGGAUGGUGGUGAGGUUGUAUGGAUGGUGGUGAGGUUGUAUGGGUGGUGGAUGGUGGUGAGGUUGUAUGGAUGGUGGAUGGUGGUGAGGUUGUAUGGAUGGUGGUGAGGUUGUAUGGAUGGUGGAUGUUGGUGAGGUUGUAUGGAUGGUGGUGAGGUUGUAUGGAUGGUGGUGAGGUUGUAUGGAUGGUGGAUGGUGGUGAGGUUGUAUGGGUGGUGGAUGGUGGUGAGGUUGUAUGGGUGGUGGAUGGUGGUGAGGUUGUAUGGAUGGUGGUGAGGUUGUAUGGGUGGUGGAUGGUGGUGAGGUUGUAUGGGUGGUGGAUGGUGGUGAGGUUGUAUGGGUGGUGGAUGGUGGUGAGGUUGUAUGGGUGGUGGAUGGUGGUGAGGUUGUAUGGAUGGUGGUGAGGUUGUAUGGAUGGUGGUGAGGUUGUAUGGGUGGUGGUGAGGUAUGGGUGGUGGAUGGUGGUGAGGUUGUAUGGGUGGUGGUGAGGUAUGGGUGGUGGAUGGUGGUGAGGUUGUAUGGGUGGUGGAUGGUGGUGAGGUUGUAUGGGUGGUGGUGAGGUUGUAUGAGUGGUGGAUGGUGGUGAGGUUGUAUGGGUGGUGGAUGGUGGUGAGGUUGUAUGGGUGGUGGAUGGUGGUGAGGUUGUAUGGAUGGUGGAUGGUGGUGAGGUUGUAUGGGUGGUGGAUGGUGGUGAGGUUGUAUGGAUGGUGAGGUUGUAUGGGUGGUGGAUGGUGGUGAGGUUGUAUGGGUGGUGGUGAGGUUGUAUGGAUGGUGGUGAGGUUGUAUGGGUGGUGGAUGGUGGUGAGGUUGUAUGGAUGGUGGAUGGUGGUGAGGUUGUAUGGAUGGUGGUGAGGUUGUAUGGAUGGUGGUGAGGUUGUAUGGAUGGUGGUGAGGUUGUAUGGAUGGUGGUGAGGUUGUAUGGAUGGUGGUGAGGUUGUAUGGGUGGUGGAUGGUGGUGAGGUUGUAUGGAUGGUGGAUGGUGGUGAGGUUGUAUGGAUGGUGGAUGGUGGUGAGGUUGUAUGGAUGGUGGUGAGGUUGUAUGGAUGGUGGAUGGUGGUGAGGUUGUAUGGAUGGUGGUGAGGUUGUAUGGGUGGUGGAUGGUGGUGAGGUUGUAUGGAUGGUGGUGAGGUUGUAUGGAUGGUGGAUGGUGGUGAGGUUGUAUUGGUGGUGGAUGGUGGUGAGGUUGUAUGGAUGGUGGUGAGGUUGUAUGGAUGGUGGAUGGUGGUGAGGUUGUAUUGGUGGUGGAUGGUGGUGAGGUUGUAUGGAUGGUGGUGAGGUUGUAUGGGUGGUGGAUGGUGGUGAGGUUGUAUGGGUGGUGGAUGGUGGUGAGGUUGUAUGGAUGGUGGUGAGGUUGUGUGGAUGGUGGUGAGGUUGUAUGGGUGGUGGAUGGUGGUGAGGUUGUAUGGAUGGUGGUGAGGUUGUAUGGAUGGUGGUGAGGUUGUAUGGAUGGUGGUGAGGUUGUAUGGAUGGUGGUGAGGUUGUAUGGAUGGUGGUGAGGUUGUAUGGGUGGUGGAUGGUGGUGAGGUUGUAUGGGUGGUGG
ensembl:lncRNA